UACGUAGGUGGCAAGCGAUACUCGGAAUCACUAGGCGUAAAGCGCAGGUAGGCGGCUCGAUAAGUCUCUUGUGAAAGCUCCCGGCUCAACUGGGAGAGGUCAAGGGAAACUGUUGGGCUAGAGUGUGGUAGAGGAAACUGGAAUUCCCGGUGUAGCGGUGAAAUGCGUAGAUAUCUGGAGGAACACCGGUGGCGAAGGCGGCAUCCUGGACCGGCAUUGACGCUGAGUGAGCGAAAGCCAGGGGAGCAAACGGG
rnacentral:rRNA from 1 species